UGCUAAGGAGAUAACCUCUUGUUUAAGCUGAUUUAGAAUCAACAACAGAAUCAUCAUGUGAUCAUCACUUUGAAGGACAUGGAAUUAUUUUUCAUAAAGUCAUGUAUAGUUCAUAUUUAGUUGGAAUACAACACCAUUGAAACACUAAGAAACGGCUAUCUCAUACUGUCAGCAUUUUUUGUCAGACAGAUCCAUAAUUUCAUAUUUUUCAUGGUCGCAGUUAAAACAAAGCUAAUAAUUCCAUGCAAACUUUUAACUGUAUCUACACUAAAAUGUGAAAAAUAUAAUUAAAAAAUAAUCCUGCAGAUUUGGAUGAACACUUGUCAUCGUUAUUGAUAUAUAAUGGCAUACAUCUACCCCGUCAACAAAAUAAUCAACUAGUACAAAAGACCUCAAGAAAUACAAGAAAUGGAACACCACUGGGAAUAUUCCCUGAUAACACGAG
rnacentral:lncRNA from 1 species